GAGUGGGUUGCAAAAGAAGUAGGUAGCUUAACCUUCGGGAGGGCGCUUACCACUUUGUGAUUCAUGACUGGGGUGAAGUCGUAACAAGGUAACCGUAGGGGAACCUGCGGUUGGAUCACCUCCUUACAUUAAAGAA
rnacentral:rRNA from 1 species